rnacentral:lncRNA from 1 species
AUGGAUGCCUAUCUUUAGCAUUGUAGGCUCGGUCAUAUAAAUAAGAAUAGGAUAAACAGAUUAGGUAAAAAAAAAAUCUUCGAAGUCUAUGAUUGUAAAUCAUUGCUGACCCAUGAAUCUUGUCUUCUUUGAAAGAUGAUCAAGUCAGCCAGUGAUAUUCUAAGUCUAGUACAUAUUGAUGUAUGUGGACCCAUGAACUCGAGUGCCAG